rfam:Salmo salar isolate Sally breed double haploid chromosome ssa21, whole genome shotgun sequence.
UACACUCACUACUGUAAGUCGCUCUGGAUAAGAGUGUCUGCUAAAUGACUAAAA